rnacentral:rRNA from 1 species
CCGGCCCCUAAGACGAGCCCGAAGGGGGUAGUCGAUGGGAACCACGUUAAUAUUCGUGGGCCUGGUGGUGUGUGACGGAUCUCGUGUGUUGUACGUCCUUAACGGAUUGGACGUGCUUCGAAGAGGUUCCAGGAAAUAGCCCCACCGUAUAGACCGUACCCGAAACCGACACAGGUGGUCAGGUAGAGUAUACCAAGGCGCUUGAGAGAAG